rnacentral:rRNA from 1 species
CAGAGGGCGCGAGCGUUGUCCGGAAUCACUGGGCGUAAAGGGCGCGUAGGUGGCCAGCAUAAGGCCGCGGUGAAAGUCCGGAGCUCAACUCCGGAUCUGCCGCGGCGACUGUGCGGCUUGGGCACUGUAGAGGCAGAUGGAAUUCCGGGUGUAGCGGUGGAAUGCGUAGAAAUCCGGAAGAACACCGGUGGCGAAGGCGAUCUGCUGGGCAGUGGACCGCAAGGUCCAAUAGCCGACACUGAGGCGCGACAGCGUGGGGAGCAAACAGGAUUAGAUACCCUGGUAGUCCACGCCGUAAACGAUGGGCACUAGGUGCUCCGGGGAGCGACCCUUGGAGUACCGGCGCUAACGCAUGAAGUGCCCCGCCUGGGGAGUACGGCCGCAAGGCUG